UACAGAGGGUGCGAGCGUUAAUCGGAAUUACUGGGCGUAAAGCGUGCGUAGACGGUUAUUUAAGUCGGGUGUGAAAGCCCCGGGCUCAACCCUGGGAAUUGCAUUCGAGACCUGAAUAGCUAGGGUACGGUAGAGGAAGUGGAAUUCCGGUGUAGCGGUGAAUGCGUAGAUAUCGGAAGGAACAUCAGUGGCGAAAGCGAGCUUCCUGGACCAGUACCGACGUUCAGGCACGAAGCGUGGGAGCAAACAGG
rnacentral:rRNA from 1 species